rnacentral:rRNA from 1 species
GUUUGAUCAUGGCUCAGAUUGAACGCUGGCGGCAUGCCUUACACAUGCAAGUCGAACGGUAACGCGGGGCAACCUGGCGACGAGUGGCGAACGGGUGAGUAAUGCAUCGGAACGUGCCUGGUAAUGGGGGAUAACUGCUCGAAAGAGCAGCUAAUACCGCAUACGACCUGAGGGUGAAAGGGGGGAUCGCAAGACCUCCCGUUAUCAGAGCGGCCGAUGUCGGAUUAGCUAGUUGGUGGGGUAAAGGCCCACCAAGGCGACGAUCCGUAGCUGGUCUGAGAGGACGACCAGCCACACUGGAACUGAGACACGGUCCAGACUCCUACGGGAGGCAGCAGUGGGGAAUAUUGCACAAUGGGCGCAAGCCUGAUGCAGCAACGCCGCGUGAGGGAUGAAGGCCUUCGGGUUGUAAACUGCUUUUGUACGGAACGAAAAGGUUUCUAUUAAUACUAGGAGCUCAUGACGGUACCGUAAGAAUAAGCACCGGCUAACUACGUG